rnacentral:siRNA from 1 species
UUCAAGGUGGCUAGGAACUGGC